AUUGACUUGUCACAAAGAUAAAUUAUGGGAUCUAGUGAUUUUACAUUCAUUGAUUUCUGUAUGUGAUGACGGACAGUUAUGUGUUUUUCACUAACCAUUGGAAGGUUAUAGCCACGUUAUACUUUCUACAAAUAUUGCUGAAAGCAUUAUUACUGUGCCGAUUGUAAAAUAUGACUUUUGUCUUGUGAAACAACUGAUCGAGAAUCCCAUCACUCGAUAUCAAACUUUAAAACUUUGUUGAGCGAGUAAAGCAAAUUGUAUACAACGAGCUGAUCGCAUGGGUCGUAUAAUAGAUGGUAGAGUGUACAGAUUAGUAAAAAGCAUUUUACAAUGUAAGUAAUUAAAAUAUUUAGAAUUCA